GGUCAGGAUGAACGCUGGCGACAGGCUUAACACAUGCAAGUCGAGGGGCAGCAUAAAGUAGCAAUACUUGGUGGCGACCGGCGCGACGGGUGAGUAACGCGUAUGCAACCUACCUAUCAGAGGGGAAUAACCCGGCGAAAGUCGGACUAAUACCGCAUAAAACAGGGGCACCGCAUGGUGAUAUUUGUUAAAGAAAUUCGCUGAUAGAUGGGCAUGCGUUCCAUUAGGUAGUUGGUGAGGUAACGGCUCACCAAGCCGACGAUGGAUAGGGGAACUGAGAGGUUGGUCCCCCACACUGGUACUGAGACACGGACCAGACUCCUACGGGAGGCAGCAGUGAGGAAUAUUGGUCAAUGGGCGAGAGCCUGAACCAGCCAAGUCGCCGUGAAGGAAGAAGGAUCUAUGGUUCGUAAACUUCUUUUGCAGGGGAAUAAAGUGCAGGACGUGUCCUGUUUUGUAUGUACCCUGAGAAUAAGGAUCGGCUAACUCCGUGCCAGCCGCCGC
rnacentral:rRNA from 1 species